CCUUCGAUAGCUCAGUUGGUAGAGCGGUGGACUGUAGCGAGUUUUAGGGGUCGACCAUCUGUUACAAUGCAUCUCAAAGGGCAUCUGAUCUGAUCACCUGUGAAUAGAAAUCCAUAGGUCACUGGUUCAAAUCCGGUUCGAAGGA
rnacentral:tRNA from 1 species